UACAGAGGGGGCAAGCGUUGUUCGGAAUUACUGGCGUAAAGGGCGCGUAGGCGGCCUUCUAAGUCGAACGUGAAAUCCCCGGGCUCAACCCGGGAACUGCGUCCGAUACUGGAAGGCUUGAAUCCGGGAGAGGGAUGCGGAAUUCCAGGUGUAGCGGUGAAAUGCGUAGAUAUCGGAGGAAUACCGGUGGCGAAGGCGGCGAUCCUGGACCGGU
rnacentral:rRNA from 1 species